rnacentral:lncRNA from 1 species
AUGUUCUCUCCCCACCUUUGGAGAUGCGCUUCUCCCGUGUGGAGCACAAGCCCCGAGGGCCCGCCCGGCUGUUGCCCCUCCGCAGUGUGGCCUUUGUCUCGCCAGGCGGUUUUCCGCGGCGUGCGAGUGCCGGCUGGCUUACUGAGGGGCCCCUGGGUCGGUGCCCGUCGGGGGCCGUCGUGUUCGUGCGCGGGCUCUGAGCGGAUACGAAAGUCUCACUUCUCUGGGGUGAAUGCCAGGGACGAAUCGGGCAGUUGCCAGGUCACGGCCUGUUUCCCACGCCGUCUGAUGGGCCGUUUCUUCCCUUCGUCCCCGGAUACGGACGUGCGUUCUCGUUUAGAGCGGCCCCUCGGGAUCCCUCCACGUGAAAGUGCCAUCCCAAAGGCCACGUGCAGAAUCCCAGGAGCUGUGGAGACAACAGCACGGCAAACCCUGGAUGACAUGAUGCUCCGUGCUGUCCCGACACCAAGGUCGCACGACAGCGGCGACACCGGGCCUCUGUAACUUUCGGAGAACGACCCAAGUCUGCCCGCAAGCUGCAAAGAGGCCACAGAACAUUUGGAAACAUACCUGGCUCCCUAGGGAUCCGGGCCUGCAUGCCUGGCCUCUUCCCGCUCUGCCUGGGGACCCUCCCUGCCCCAAAAAAGACUCGUCCAUGUUACAAACCCUGGAAACUGAUUUUGAGCUUCUUUAAAAAAAAAUUUUUUUUAAUGUUUAUUUAUUUUUGAGAGAGAGAGCAUAAGCAGGGAGGGCAGCGAGGGAGACACAGAAUCUGAGGCAGACUCCAGGCUCCGGGCUGUCAGCGCAGAGCCCGACGUGGGGCUCGAACUCACGAACCAGGAGACCAUGACCUGAGCCCAAGUCAGACUUGAGCUUACUUAUAAAAAAAGGUUUUUUGCAGAUGUUAUAAAGGAUCUCAAGAUGAGAUCAUCCUGAUCAGGGUAGGUCCCAAACCCAGCGACAAGUGUUCUUCUAAGAGGCAGGAGAAGGGCACUUGACAAUGGAGGCAGAGAUUGGAGGGACAGGCCACCAGCCAAAGAACAAUGGGACCCCAGGAGCUGGAAGAGGCAGGAAGAGCCUUCCCCUGGAGCCUCGGAGGAGGCGUGGCCCACCAACGUGAUUCCCGGGAACCAGGCACAAGGCCCAGCACACGGGAGGAGCUCGUGAAGCCUCUGAAAACCCACUGCAGGUCUGCCUUAAUGUGCUUGCUGACCCACCGGCCACGGCCAUGGCCACGGCCAGCCUGACUGGAAGGCCCCCAGGGCAGCCUGGGGCAAUGGGUGACCCAGACACCUGUGGCCACAAACACCAUCUGGGGCCCUCCACUAUCCCUGGGGCUCCCAGUUCACCCAGAUGGCGAGUCCCUGGGAACCCUGUCCCAACACAAGUUUUCGAAAAAGUUACCUUUUUAUAACCACACACGGGCACGUCCCUAGGCCGCGAGCAGGAGUGAGGCGUCCACACCCACCGCCCCGCGGACGGACCCCGAACACACGACGCUCAG